GGUCGCCCGCUCUCUGGCGUCCGCGCAUCGAUGGACGUGAGAAGACGCUGAGCUGUACAGGGUUUUGGCAGCUACUAUAUCGGUGAAGCGCUGUCUUGUCACAGAAACGCAGAUAUAGGUGGCUCCUCCACAGCGCAGCCAGAGAGAAACCAGACGCACCGAGAAGCCGCCG